rnacentral:lncRNA from 1 species
AUGUUACAAGUGGGACAAGCCUUGUGGGUGAAGCUCAGAGAAGGGUCAGGCUCUGAGAGAGCUGGUCAGCUGGAUGGGGGCAGGGGACUCGGCUGCAUCCUGUGCCCCGAAUGGGGCUGUGCUUUGUGGAUACCAGGAUCCUGGCUGCAGGGUGGGCCGGGUGGGUUUGUGUGGUGGCCAGGGGCUUUUUUCCCAGGGCUGCCAUGUGGCUUGGCUCCAGGGGGCUCCUUCCACACUGCGUUCUCUGGCGCCUUCUGGAAUUGUGCUGCAAGGGGCAACGUUCAUCGUCGAAAGGGCGCCCCUGGAGCAGUGGACCAAGCGGUCCUAGUGUCUCCUUGCCUGCCUCUGUCUCCUUGUCUCCAUGCUGCGUCUAGACCAGCAGCGGAGGGCCCUGAAGCAAUCCUGCCCCGGCACCCAGCAUGCUCGCACAUGGGGAGGAAGCUCCUUCUCGGGUGGCCCAAGAACACCCACAGAGGGCGAGAGGGCCUGGCUGGACCUCAGGAAGCUGGGGCAGCGCAGGGAGGAGCCCCCUGCUCUGGAGAGGAGGACCAGGAGGCCCUGGGACACAGACCAGGAAGCUGCGGUCCCUUCUGCCCCCACGCCCCCACCCAUGUCUGGGCUCCCAGGCAGGGAACCCGAUCUUUCCUUUGUGCCGGGGCCAGGCUAGCGGAGAAACGCCCUCCAGUCUGGGAGCCGGGGAGGAGGGCGCGGAGCCGGGGCAGCUGCUCAGAGCAGCGUUCUGGCUUCUUCUCAAAUCCUCAGCAGGCGGCAGUCCCAGCAGUUCAGCCAUCGCGAUCAUGGUACUUUGCUCUCCCUUGGCACCUCUCUCUGUCUUCUCUAAGCACUUUACCUACGCCCACUGAGGGCAGGCGGGCAGGCAGCAGGCAGGCCCCGGCCUGGGGUGGGGUGGGGGCCCGAGCUGGGAGUUGUCCCUCCCAUUGGCAAGACUAUUUUGUGGCGGGUGGCAGAGGAGACCACGAUACUCGUAUGUUUUCCGACGCCGUCUCAGUGUGGGUCACCCUCGCCCUUGUCCGGGGUCUCUUCCUGCUGCCCGCCCGUCACUCUGCUCUUUUGGUGAACAUGGCUCAGAAGGCUCGGGGCCGGCUGAGUCUCCCAUCAUCUCGUCACCCAGUGGACACGGACUCCCCAUGCCGGGCCCACGUGGGUAGCCUCUGA